rnacentral:rRNA from 1 species
AACGAACGCUGGCGGCAUGCCUAACACAUGCAAGUCGAACGAGACCUUCGGGUCUAGUGGCGCACGGGUGCGUAACGCGUGGGAAUCUGCCCUUCGGUUGGGAAUAACUGAGAGAAAUUUCAGCUAAUACCUUAUAAUGUCUUCGGACCAAAGAUUUAUCGCCGAGGGAUGAGCCCGCGUAGGAUUAGGUAGUUGGUGGGGUAAUGGCCUACCAAGCCGACGAUCCUUAGCUGGUCUGAGAGGAUGAUCAGCCACACUGAGACUGAGACACGGCCCAGACUCCUACGGGAGGCAGCAGUGGGGAAUAGUGGACAAUGGGGGAAAGGAUGAUGCAGUAAUGCUGCGUAAGCGAUGAAGGCCUUAGGGUUGUAAAGCUCUUUUACCCGGGAUGAUAAUGACAGUACCGGGAGAAUAAGCACCGGCUAACUCCGUG